GAAUGUGAAGGGGACUUGUGACGCGUCACCCAUGGGUCACCAGUGGGGAUUUGGCUGAUGGAGCUGACAAAACCAGGGUUUCCUUCCUCCCUCAAGUCUCCAUCUCUGUCCCUCUAGAAGUUCGGUGGGUCAAAGAAAAUGACCUCUGCCAGUGGAGGUCAAGGGUGAGUGGGCAGGUGAGCUUCCCUUCCAGGAUUUACAAACAAGCUCAGGCAGGCCUCGGGAUCAGGGAAGUAUAGCUCAGGACUGUCAGCUGCUUUAUGGAACACCCCGGCCUUUCUUCAUGGUUUGGGAAUGGUU
rnacentral:snRNA from 1 species